CCUACGGGAGGCAGCAGUAGGGAAUCUUGCGCAAUGGGCGAAAGCCUGACGCAGCCAUGCCGCGUGAAUGAUGAAGGUCUUAGGAUUGUAAAAUUCUUUCACCGGGGACGAUAAUGACGGUACCCGGAGAAGAAGCCCCGGCUAACUUCGUGCCAGCAGCCGCGGUAAUACGAAGGGGGCUAGCGUUGCUCGGAAUUACUGGGCGUAAAGGGAGCGUAGGCGGAUAGUUUAGUCAGAGGUGAAAGCCCAGGGCUCAACCUUGGAACUGCCUUUGAUACUGGCUAUCUUGAGUACGGGAGAGGUGUGUGGAACUCCGAGUGUAGAGGUGAAAUUCGUAGAUAUUCGGAAGAACACCAGUGGCGAAGGCGACACACUGGCCCGUUACUGACGCUGAGGCUCGAAAGCGUGGGGAGCAAACAGGAUUAGAUACCCUGGUAGUCCACGCCGUAAACGAUGAGUGCUAGUUGUCGGCAUGCAUGCAUGUCGGUGACGCAGCUACGACAUAAGACACUCCGCCGUCGGGGAGGUACGGUCGCGAAGAAUUAAAACUUAAAAUUAAGUAAGUUAGUACGGACGUGAGACGUGCCGACGGACGACGACGAGGGAGGAGG
rnacentral:rRNA from 1 species